GUCACCAAGGACGUCUGCCCAGUCAUCUUCCAUGACAACUUCAUCAUUACUGAAGAACAUGGCAAAAUUUCAGAGAAGCGUGUCACUGAUCUUCAGUUGGAAGAUUUCCUCCAGUAUGGCCCACAAAACAAGCAAGGCAAGAAUGGGAAGCCUUUGCUGCGGAAAAUGAAGGACGGUCGGGUGUUGAAUUGGAACGUCCAGUCAGAUGAUCCUCUUUGCACCCUUCAAGAAGCAUUCGAGAAGGUCAAUCCAAGAUUGGGCUUCAAUGUCGAGCUGAAAUUCGAUGACAAUCUUGUGUACCAAGAUGAGGAGCUUACUCACAUCCUCCAGGCCAUCCUCAAGGUGGUCUUCGAGUGUGCCAAGGAUAGGCCCAUCAUUUUUUCUAGCUUCCAGCCCGAUGCUGCGCAGCUCAUGCGAAAACUGCAGAGCACAUACCCUGUGUACUUCUUAACGAACGGAGGGACGGAAAUCUACGCCGACGUGAGGAGGAACUCGUUGGAAGAGGCGGUCAAGCUGUGCCUUGCCAGCGGCAUGCAAGGGAUCGUGUCCGAGGCCCGCGCCGUCUUCAGGUUCCCGACCGCUAUACCCAAGAUCAAGGAGGCUGACCUCUCCCUACUAACUUACGGCACUCUCAAUAACGUGCCGGAGGCGGUGUACAUGCAGCACCUGAUGGGGGUGAACGGGGUCAUCGUCGACCUCGUGCCGGAGAUCACUGGGGCUGUCUCUGAUCUCAUCGCCCUCCCGGAGACCGAUACAGAGAUCAAUGAUCUGAGCGGCAAGGUGGUGAAAGAUGCCGCAUCGACGCCGAAUUUCACACAGCGGGAGAUCUCGUUCCUGCUGAGGCUGAUGCCAGAGCUUGUGCAAUAG
rnacentral:rRNA from 1 species